rnacentral:rRNA from 1 species
GUAGGUGGCAAGCGUUGUCCGGAAUUAUUGGGCGUAAAGCGCGCGCAGGCGGUUCGUUUAAGUCUGAUGUGAAAGCCCACGGGCUCAACCGUGGAGGGUCAUUGGAAACUGGAGAACUUGAGUACAGAAGAGGAAAGCGGAAGUUCCACGUGUAGCGGUGAAAUGCGUAGAGAUGUGGAGGAACACCAGUGGCGAAGGCGGCUUUCUGGUCUGUAACUGACGCUGAGGCGCGAAAGCGUGGGGAGCGAAACAGGAUUAGAUACCCUCGGUAGUCCACGCCGUAAACGAUGAGUGCUAAGUGUUAGGGGGUUUCCGCCCCUUAGUGCUGCAGCUAACGCAUUAAGCACUCCGCCUGGGGAGUACGACCGCAAGGUUG